UGCACUCACUACUGUAAGUCAGCUCUGGAUAAGAGCGUCUGCUAAAUGAUGAAAA
rfam:Salmo salar isolate Sally breed double haploid chromosome ssa23, whole genome shotgun sequence.